rnacentral:rRNA from 1 species
AGAACGAACGCUGGCGGCAUGCCUAAUACAUGCAAGUCGAACGAAGGCUUCGGCCUUAGUGGCGCACGGGUGCGUAACACGUGGGAAUCUGCCCCUUGGUUCGGAAUAACAGUUGGAAACGACUGCUAAUACCGGAUGAUGACGAAAGUCCAAAGAUUUAUCGCCAAGGGAUGAGCCCGCGUAGGAUUAGCUAGUUGGUGAGGUAAAGGCUCACCAAGGCGACGAUCCUUAGCUGGUCUGAGAGGAUGAUCAGCCACACUGGGACUGAGACACGGCCCAGACUCCUACGGGAGGCAGCAGUAGGGAAUAUUGGACAAUGGGCGAAAGCCUGAUCCAGCAAUGCCGCGUGAGUGAAGAAGGCCCUUGGGUUGUAAAGCUCUUUGUUGGGGAAGAAAAGCAAUCGGUAAU